UACGUAGGGUGCAAGCGUUGUCCGGAAUUAUUGGGCGUAAAGAGCUCGUAGGCGGUCUGUCGCGUCGGCUGUGAAAACUCGGGGCUCAACCCCGAGCCUGCAGUCGAUACGGGCAGACUAGAGUGCUGUAGGGGAGACUGGAAUUCCUGGUGUAGCGGUGAAAUGCGCAGAUAUCAGGAGGAACACCGGUGGCGAAGGCGGGUCUCGUGGACAGUUCCGUGACGCUGAGACGCGAAAGCGUGGGGAGCGAACCGG
rnacentral:rRNA from 1 species